ensembl:lncRNA
CACUGAACCUGCAGUUCCAUUUAAAAAACGUACUGGGAAUUUUUGAACUGGUUUUUAUGGCGUGUGCUGCAGUUGCCAGAGGAGUGAUGGGGGCUUUCAAGGGUGUGUGAUGGGGGUGCCACCACAGCCACGCAGCUGCCAGAGGGCAGUGGAAACGUGGAGGAGGAAAAUUAAGCUGUGAACUGGAAUUCCAUCAGGCUGUCUGCCGUGAAGCCCUGCGGCUUUAGCAAACAGGCAGCAGUGGUCAGAAAUGACACUCAAAAGAACUGUCUGCAUUAAUAACAAGUACCUCCACUUGGAAAUUAUUUACAUGAAACAUUGUUCUCACAUCACUGCUACUGACAGCGGCUCCGGACUGGGUGAGAGAAGGACACCGUGAUGAAUUUACCCAUACCUACCUUACUGUGCUGCGUGAGACGAGGAGAGCUCAAAGACUUCAGAGAAGUUUGAAACCUUAAUCCCUGAAUAAUGCCUCCACCUGCCUCCUGGUUUUCUUUGGGGACUUUCCAGCGCUGGCCAGUCCUGACCCUAUCUGACUUCAGGGACAAUCCCAGUGUCUUGGGCUCCGAAAAAAGAGUGAAACAGUGACUGGAAAUGGUGCAGAGCUCAAGGGAGAAGAAUCUCCAGGAACAGAUUUUGACCUCAAGACUAAGGCACGUUACGUGUGUGAAGGCCCAGCACCGCUGCUACGAUCCACAGCACUGCUCCCACAUACUGCGUGAGUGAGGCCCUGCUGAUGUAAUAGUGGCCCGCAUAUGUCUCAUAUUAAUGGUAUUUUCCUAAUAGUAAUAGCAUUAAAGCCUGCCUACCUGGCUAUUGAGUUACCUUAUUUAGGGUAAUUUGCCCAAAAGCCUAUCCUGGAGCAUGUGAACAACCGUAUCAUUUUAUAACACUUAGCUUUAAGAUAUCAGAAAUCAAAGCAGGCAGACAGUCUGAUUCCAGAACUAGUAGUUUUCCAUUUAAAAAAACAAAAACUGUUGUGUUUCUUGAAUAAUUUAUUAUCUGGGUUUCUGUUGCAUUUUCCACAUGGAAUUGAUGAAGAAAAAUUUUUUCUAAAGAAAGUUCGGAUGAGUGAAAAUUCACACAUGGAAAACAAAUGAGCAUCGGGAAGCACUCCUCAUAGCUAAUGGCUACUUGGUCUGGUGCCAGAAUUCAUACAGAUCCUUAAAAUCAAGUAAAUUAUGCCCGCAGUGAUAGCUCCCUUUUGCUGGAGUCCCACAACAAGCACCAAAUGGUGGAGCGGCACAGAACUGCCAAAUUCCAUUUUUCACCUCCCAGUUCCUUUCAGCUGAGCAGCCUCAUUCGCAGCAGAAGGGCCCAUGCAUUUUUUACAGCUCCCCUCCCAGCCGCGUGUGCAGGGCCCGAUCCUGCCUAUGGCACAGGGCUCUGAGGGCAGCGCCUGCCGCGGGGUCAGCAUGUCAGUGAAUGGCAGCGGUGGUGGCAAUCUGACACACGUGUCUUCCCACGGAAGGGAGUGGAAAGAAUUGGGUCUUGAAAAGGAAAUAAUUGUAAAACAAAAGUGUACUUCUCUCACUUUGUCCUUUUGAUAAGAUCGCUUGCUGAGCUCAGAGGUUAGGAGAUGUGCAGCUUGCCAUGCGCCAGAUUAACAACUGCUGAAUUCUGUGCUAGAAAACUCGGCUGGAUUACACAAAUAUCUGUUAAGACAAGGAUAAAUAUUUAUAAACAGUCUUCCUUGCAGAACAUGUCUCCAUCAUUCAUUUCCCCGUGAUGAAAUAUCUGGAACAAUGGAACUAAUGACUACAUUGUUCCAAAGUUAAAUCGUAUAUCUAAUAAGGAAAAUACUAAAAUGAGCCAAAUUCUUUAUGAACACAACAGCGAAGCAAUUAAAAUAAAUGUGAUUUUCCAGAUCAAAACUUCUGGCUGUUAAUUGCUAGAUGGCACCUAUCCUAGUCAUAUGAGUUUCCCUCGCAGCUGUUUUUAUUUCACGAUACAUUCUGGGCUCCCCAGAGCUGUGCUGAGCUCGGACGCGGCGGCAUCGCGCCCGGACAGCUGCGCGGGGCUGCGGGGCUCAUGGAUGCACUGCUGGGACAGGCCUUGGGCCAGGUGCGCUCUCGCUGCUUGCCCUUUGCUUGCCCCGGGGUUCCAGUGGGGAUGAUGGGUGGGCACAAUGGCAUGCCCGCACCAAGCACACAGCACUGCUGCUCCCAGAAAGAGUAUUUUGGAGGAUAUACUUCAGUCAUACACUUUGUCCUAGUCACGGCAUCUGGCUGAGCUCAUACCCUUACCUCUUCGCCCUCUGCAUUUGACUUUUUUUUUUUUUUAAUUUGUUCAUGGGUGCCCUAGCACAGCAGCAGUGGGGCAGGGGCUGCAGCCCCAGCAGGACCAGGGCUCUUUAACCCACCCCACUCCAGAGCUGAAACUGCACACUGGAAAUCUGGCACGCUCCAGCCAGCUUUACUUGAAGCUGCACUUUGGUAUCUGUAGGUUAUUAAUGAGAUUAAAGAACUCUGUUACAGGGAAUGACAACUGCAGUUUGUCCAACAUUAAGCAGAUAUUGGCAUCCUUAGGUGUGAGUCGGGAGGCAGUGAUCUCAGAUAUUGAACGAGCUAAAGCCAUGAGCAAUAUGAUAUUGAUUAGACAAUGGGUAUUGUAUUUACCCACAUAGCUUUAUUGGGUGAGGCUCAAUGUGAUGUUUUUAUUUGGGAAACUUAAGGAAGAUAAUUAAAAAUGCUGUAAGGAGAGCCCAGCAGCCUUUGUGCUUUGCUUUUUAAAGGCUGCAGAUGUCCUGUCUUCUUUCUUUAAAACGGCAUGUGCUCCCUCUCCACCUUCCAAAAGAUCAAGGGUAAUAAUAACAACAAUAAUAAUACAGUGUCCUGGAAUUUUUCUACAUGCCUCAGGAGAACUUUAAUUUUUUCCAGAAACUGUUUUCUGACAACAGCCGCCCCGUGGACUUUUCCUGUUCCCCAGAAUGCAUUUCCAGUGCUGCUGUGGCCAAGUUAAAAUGGUGUCUUUUGGAUAUAAGGCCUUUUAUGUAGAAAACCUUUCUCUUGCUGAACAAAACCCUGCCUGCAGCGUGGGGCAACCCUGACCUGGUGAGCAGGUAGUGUUGUGCACUUUGAGCCUGUGCACCACGGGCAGCCCAGUGUGGCCUUGAUGACAGAAUUCGGGAGCCUUACUCACAUCCACAGACGGCCCAGUGCUCGAAGCAUGCACAGAGGAUGCAUCCUGUCCACCUCUUCCGCUGUUUCUCCCAUCAGUUGCAUUCCCUUUCCCCAAGGGCUUUUUUCCAUUUUUUUUACUUUAUAAUCCCACAGCAAUGCCCAGCCCAGCUGCAUUCCCAUCUUGCAUCAGAAGGCUGACUCACUGCAGCGCUCAGCUCGGUUGCACUUCCCUUCCAUGGGACAUGGGUCCACAUGGCUGCAGACAGGGCCUGGGCCUGGCACACAGCGAGGCAUGCACCCAGCUCAGGGCUGAGGCCAGCGCCUGUGUGCCACCCUCUUUACCUCUGCCAAGGUCUUUCAAGCUGAGGUGUGAUGGCUCAGCCUUUCUCCUCCCUCCAUGGAUGGCUGCUGCUGUAACUCCCCAAGCUUUUGGCCAUGGGCUGUUUAAUAUUUUCUUCCAGCUCAGCCAUCUCCAGUCACCAGAGCUGCUGCCGGCUCUACUCCCAUGGGUGAGGUAGCUUCUCACAGCCACCACUUCCUCUGCUCUUCAACCUGAUGCUUUCCAGCUCUGCGCUUUGCAAGGGGAGGCAAAGGAGCGUGUGCCGAGCCUCCAUCUGCACCACAUCACGGGAAUACAAAAUGGCACCGAAUCCUACUUUUCCUCAUUAGAUGUGGGCAAACUUGGCUGGAGCGCAAGUGCGAAAGCUCAUCUUUCUUCAGCUGCUUGUAAUUCAUGCUUGAGCAAGAGCAUUAUUUGGGGCUUAAGUCAGAGUCUUCUAAGUAGGUCACAGUUCUUCUAGACCCAAACUCCUGCAUAUGACUUCUGAGAAAUGCAGAUCCCUGUCCUCCUGAUUAGUGAAACACCUCAGGAGCCCUCUUUUCAGUUUUAUCAGCUCCUCAAAUGAAUCCAUAAAACAAAUAGUUACUAAGAAGUUGCUUCCUGCAUAGGGUUCAGACUUGGAAAAAUUCCUCUGCCUUGGGUGGCAGCCAUUUCUGUCUCAUUUGCAUGGCUAGUUUCUUGCAUUUUAAGGAUGCUCCACUGUAGCCAGGUAAAUGGAUGCACCCCGCAACUCCUCUAGUCUUUGCAUCAACAAGAGGACAAAAAGCUACGGAGAAGGCAAGGAAGCUCCAGCCUACAGGGGCUGUGCUGGCUGAAACACAUGCAGUGCAGUCCAUGCUGUAAAACAGCAUUCAUUUUAGUGGUGCAGAGGCUGAUUUGCCAAAUCAUCACAGCAUGUGUUAGAUGUUAAUCCUAGUCUUUAGAAUAGAACUACAGCUUCAGACACACCCGGAGAUAAAAUGAGGGAAAUACAAGAGCUCAACAAGAAGCAGAAUGAAGCGGAAUGGCACAGUGCAAGGAUGUGUUAAGAGCUCUUUGAGGCACUGGUGGCAUAAGUAAGUUUUCCUGGUAUUUCUGCAGGGCAGUUCUGAAUGCCUAUAGCAGCUCACCACCUGCGUUUGAAAAUGAUAGCAUUUGCUUUUUUCAGUCAUCUAGAAAUUAAGCUUUACCUCCUCCUUCAGUAGCAGGAUGAGUCUGGACUGCAGUGACAUGAGGGAGAAGUCAGAACCAAACAUACUCUAUAUCUCUCGCCGGAGGAGAAGAGUUGCAGUUAAGUCUGAUUUUAGUUGAGUCAUUUGGCCAGGGGAGAUUAUCCAUAGGUAUGGAUUGCAGUUGUCAGCAGCCACAUGUUGUUGGGGCAUUUCUUUGCAUUACGGUACUAUGCAUUUAGAUUUUUGCCCUUUACUGCUGCUUUAGUGUGCAAUGGUGAAGUGCUGGAGCUCAGCUCUGUGGCUGCAUUCGGAUCCCUGAAAUGAGCUCAAGUGCUAUUUUACCAUAGAAUACAGGAUGCCUUCGUGCUUUUAUGCUUUAUUUUUGAUUCUAUGAGGUUAUUUUAACUUCCUUGUCUGAAAAGAAACAAAAUGUUAGAUGUCUAAUUGAAUGGACUGCUGGAAAAGAUGCAUAAAAAGGUCUGGCAUGUGAACUUCUGUGAAGCAAAUGCCUUUGUUUCCAAACAGGCCAGCGAUAACAAAUAUUUAUUGACAUUUUCCUUCCACAGGGGCGUUAACAAUUAUAAUUUGCUAGUACGUACCUCAUGAGUCCUUACAGGUUUUGAACAGAACAUCUGUUGGUCAAAGAUGAAAAAGAAGGUUGAAAAAAAAAUCUGUUUUUCCAGGGUUAUGAAACUAACAGCAUCACAAAUUAUCGCUAGGAAAACAGUUCAAAAGCCUGAACUUGCACUUGUGGAAAAAGGAACACAGAUAGAGGAAACAGAUAAAAACGCGUCGUGUUGGUAGGCUUUGUUUUCUGCAAUGAUGUAUUGUUCCAGCAAAGCGGUUAACAAACAAAUUAUUGUCUGCAUCCAAAACAGCCAAAUCUUUGGUUCCACUGAACAGAUGUUAAGGUGAAGCAGAUUAAAGCCAAAUUCACAAUAGGGCUGCUCCACAGGAAAGGUGCCCUAAGUUUAUCUAUUGUUAAAUAAUAUAAUUUAUCGUCUUAGAGGGCUACGGAGUGAUUUCUGUUCCUUUUCUACUUUUUGAACAAAGAUUUAUAACAUAGAUAAUCCCCAAUUUUAGAUAUUUGCUGCAGGUUAUAUUUGAAGGAAUUUCCCAAAAGACUGAUAACCCCUUUUUUUCCCUUAACCACAGUCAAACCAGUGAACUAAUAUGAUGCCUGCUUCAAAUAAAUGUAUUUGCUGCCUCUGUGCAUGAUAAGUUUUCAUUUAGUCUACGAUCAGCUGACAGUAUGCAAGUUUGCAGAUACCAGUAAUUGAAUACAGAUAACCUUGGUUGUUGACCUAUGCAGAGCCAUGGCUGUCUAGUUUCCAUUGUUUCUGUUUUUGCUAGUUGACACAAAACUGAUGUGGGCUGAAUUUAUAUAUUAGCCAUCCAUUAUAGUGGGAAUUGCUUAUCAUUGUGGAUGGAUAUUGCAAGAAGUUUCUAUUUAUUUAACCUAAUAAGAUGGCAGAAACGAACCUGAUUGGGCCCACUCAGGAUCAGAAUUAACCCUUAGUGGUCCAGUUAAUUGCUGCAUGGUUAACAAGUCAUGUAAAGGAUGCCUGCCUUAUUUCUAUUUUUUACAUAAUGAUUUUCUUUUCAGUUAGAGGGAUUAUUUCAUUUAGCAAACAAUCCUUGCCAUAUUGAGAAACUGAAUCUGAGGGUUGCAAAAGAGUCAGAUAGUGCCGGAUAUCUAAAUCCUCUUGACUUCUGGCCCCGGCCAGUGACCAUUCUCCCAGAGCUCAGUGGAAGCCCAGACUGAACAGACGGUGAGGUGGACGUUAGCACAUGGUGCCAGGGUCAGCGGUGGCACAGUCCCCAUCAGUGCUCCUCCAAGCUCUCAUACACUGGAGUCAGAUUGAGAUGUCUUUGGUUGUCUGCAGUGUUUCUGACCAGCUUGGUUUUAACAUCACACUGGCCACAGUUAGUUGUGCGCCUUUCCAGCUACCUGUAAGGUUAUCUAGAUCCAGAAUAGUUUUACAAAUGCAGUUGCUUACACAGAAGAUCCUGUGAAGGUGAAGGAUGAAGGUUCCUGUUACAGCCUAGGGAUGACCGAUCCACUGGCUGGGUAAGGAUGGUAACAAAAGCAGAAAGCCAUCUUUUUUAUUGCUAUUAAAACAGCAUUCAAACUCUGAUCCCACUGAGUUCAAGGCAGCUAGCUGAUCAGUUCUUAGCAUUUUGAGCAGCUUUUCUCCCACCUUAGAGGAGCAGAAGAAAUCUUGCCUGAUGUAGCAAGUGAGGGCUGAGCGGUGGUCAUCAAGUGUGGGCUCAUGAAUGGGCACUUCAGCCCCUUCCUGCACUGCUGUUUGGGCCCUGCUAAUGCUGUGCACCACGACUCACGCAAGGUUUUGUUCAAGAACAUGAAAGCAAAAUGGCCAGCUUGAAUCCUGAUCACCUUGUGGAAUACAGUAAUGUGCACAGAAACACAAUACAGCUGCUUGUAUUACAAUUCCUACUUUUAGCCCUUUUCAGAGCAGCAAAAGCGAGUAACAUGAAGUCCCAGUACAGCUGAAAUCUGGUUUUGUUAAGCUGCGGUGUCAAUCAGGUUGGCUAAGCUGACCUGGCUUCUGAGAUGGUAUGAUUUUGUUUAUUUUAGUUUAUUUUGUAAAUGUCCUCCUUUGCAAAUACAAUCUUAAAAAUCUAGGGAACUAUAAAAAGGAAACCUUUAAGCAUCCUUUUCUGUCCACCUUUCUGAACUACCUUGCUUAGGGACUGCUUAGGAGGAUGGAUUGACCCAGGAUGCUGUGGGAAUGCUGCACCCGGUUAAGGUCUCGCAUUCCUCUUCUGCGUGCAUUUAAGGAUGAGAGGUGCCUCGCAGUAUCGAAUACUUCAGUGAACAGAUCUUCUCCUCCUAGCAAGCAAUUUGCUCCCCACCCUGCCCCCU